GUCAACUACAAGCAGGGAGCAGCCUCUGGGUCUGGGCUGGGUAUCUGUGUGCUGGGUAUCUGCGUGCUGACAGAAGCCUCUGUGUGAUUGCUGUGUGCAGGGCUGCUUCCCAGCUGUUCCACAGCAAUGAAUCAGCUCAAGAAUCAUUCCUUCCAAGAAAGCUCUCUGGAUAUCCAUGCCUCAGUAAAACUGGUAUCUCUUCAGAAGUGCAAUAGGGAAACCCUGAAUCCUUCCAACAUGGGCCUUUUCCGUCUGCAAAACAUGGCUUCCAAGAUCAUCAUGCUCAUUUUUCUCUAAAGGGCAAAAAGGGAAAGAAGGGGAAAGAAGGGGAAAAGGCAUGCUCGCUUCUUGACCACCUGGAUCAGAAAGAAAAUACCUCACCUCUGCUGACAUUCCACUGUAAAUAUCAUGCCCUUGGUUCUGUAACUCUGCCAUUGGAUAGGUGGGCAUUCAGUGAUUUCUAACAGAUCUUAAAGGGUAUUUAAGAAUUUGGUGAGUGGAAGAUAACAGGGAUGGGUGUUCCAGGGAAAAGAAAAAAUGAAUGAUGGAGGAAAAAGAUUUACGAUGAGGGCAUCAACAAGUUUCACAUUUCAACAGAAACACAGGAUACACGCUAGGGGUAAUUGGAGAUAAGAGUAGGAGGUUGGACUCAGUAUGUAUACUUCAUUAUGAAUGUUCAUUUCACAUCACACUUAGCCUGGGCUCCAUAUUUCCAAAGCCUGGCUUCACAUACUGCCUCAAACUCUAGUGUGAAAUUGGAAAAUGUGAGAGUGCUUGAGCCUAUCAGGUAAUGACCAAUUGCUAUCAUUUUAAGUAGGAUAGCCAGAUUUAGCAAAUACAAAUCUAGGAUACCCAGUUAAACUUGAAUUUCAGUAAAAAAAAAAAAAAAAACUUAAAAAAAUAUAUAAGUACGUUUCAUAGAAUAUUUGGGACAUUAUACUAAAAAUUAUUUGUUCCCAUCUGAAAUUCAAAUUUAACCGAGUGCCCUGUAUGUUAUCUGGCAACUAUAAUUUAAAAGACGAGAGAUAUCUAAGUCAUUUUCCUCUUAACUGUAACUAUAAUUCUUUGUACUUUAGAUAAACACUUCAGGGAUUUUCCCUUUCCCAGUCACACUUUCUUAUUCUGUACCAAAAACAAUCAUCCUCUGCCAAAUCAUCCUUCUUUCAAGUUGAUUCAAGGGGAUGUAGGGAAAAUGGAAGUUGCCAUGUCCAGGAUCCUCACCUAACCCUCAUCUACCUGCCCACUGCACACAUGCAAUGAUGUUAACUGACAUACCACGUAGGCACAUGCUUGCACAUGCAUUGGCAGUUUCUGCUAUUAUUGACUGUGUUGUUAUGUAAAGAGCUCCAUCCAGUGUUCUGCACAGCUGGCAGAGGUGGAGGUGGAGAUGGAUUGUAGACUUGUUGGAUGUGGAUGUGAUCCUGGAGCUCUGCCUGCCAUCACAAGAAUAAAGCUUGGUAUAAGACCUUUUA